rnacentral:lncRNA from 1 species
CUGAGGGCAAAACCCUCUGCUAUGGCCUGCAUUUUUCUGAUCUCAUCUCCUAUCCUUUCUUUCUCACUCCAAACCAGCCACAAACACUUCCUGCCCUUGAAGGCACCGUGCUCAUUCCAGCCCAAGACCUUUAGUUAGCUGUUAUGUCUGCCAGCUGUUUUUUUCCAAGAUCCCCCCACUCUGUCCCCAAUAAUUGCUAGCUGUCUCUGAUCCUUCAGAUCCCAGUCAAAUGACACCUAUUCACAGAGACCUUUUUAAACACACUCUUUCAUACUUUAUAUCUUGCUCUAUUUUCUUCACAGUGCAUAUCCCUCUUUGCCACAGUCUCAUUUAUUUGCUUAUUCACUUGCUUGUUACUGAGCAUCUCCAAAUAGAAUAUCAGCCACACUUGGCAGUUUCCUUGAGGGCUGUACCCUGCUAUUUCCCUGCAUUGUGGAAUAUUAGUCCCUGAAACGUGGAAAGAGAUUGAUACCUUUUUGAUGAAUGAUGAAUCUCUCCUCGCUUUCCCCAUCUUCCCAUCUUUACUUCCUGUUUUAUAAAAAUGAGCCAUAUAUUCUAUGACUCACUCUUUGGUGUUCCAUCUUGUCAUCAGUAACAGGAAGGUUCAGUCGGAGGAGAAGUGACAGGUGCAGGCCCCCAAUCUUCCUAAUGAGGAUAUAAGAACUUUUCCUGCUGAAUAUCUUCACCUGGACUUUCUUAGGGACCCAUGUUGCUGACCCCAUUUGUCAAGAACUGUACCCUCAGGCUGGAGUGGCCAAGCUCUGAGCUGAGAGGGUAUAAAAGUAGACUGGAUCAGAAAGUCAGACGGGUUGGCCUUUGUGAUAGUCUGCUUCUAAUACCCUUUAAUCUUGGCCAAAUCCUUUAGCUGUUCUCAGCUGCAAAAUGAGGAUGCCUUUAAUGAAUGAGUUCCAGGCUGGUGAGAGACACCAAAAGCAAAACCCAAAAAAUCAUGGGUGUUGUAUUUCCUACAAGCCCAAAGCCUUCUAGCUCCUCCUCUCUUUGGGGAUCACCAAGCUCAACUGACGUGUUCUCAGAGAAGCCUGAUCUCCCCAAACAGACUCCAUCUUUCAGCUGUCUGACCUCCCAGUCCUGCCUUUCCUUAUGGUCAGAAUGUUUAUGGCUGUGGAGAAUUACUUGAUAUCCAUCUCUCCCUCUGGGCUGUAAGCCCCAUGAAGACAGAGACCAUGGUAGCUUUCAGCAUUUUUUUAUUCGUUUGUAAUAGAUUUUACUUUUUAGAGUAAUUUUAGGUUCACAGCCAAAUUGAGCAGAAGGUACUGAGAUUUCCCAUACACUCCUGCCCCCAAACAUGUACAGCCUCACCUGCUAUCAACAUCUCUCAAAAGAAUAGCCUUCUUGUUAAAAUUGAUGAUCUUACAUUGAUACAUCAUGAUCACCCUAGUAUGUAGUCUACAUUGGAGUUCACUUUUGGUGUUGGAUAUUCUAUGGAUUUGGACCAAUGUAUAAUGAGGUAUCCACCAUUACAGAAUUAUAAGGAGUGGUUUCCCAACCCCCAAAUCCUCUGUGCUCCCCCUUCUCUCCCUGCUCCCAACCCCUGGCAACCAUGGAUCUUUUACUGUCUCCAUAGGUUUGCCUUUUACCAAAAAAGUGUGUAGUCUUUGCAGACUGGCUUCUUUCACUUAGCAAUAUGCAUUUACAGUUCUUCAAUAUCUUUUUGAGGCUGGGUAGUUCAUUUCCUUUUACGGAUGAAUAAAAUUCUGUUGUCUAGAUGGCUUGCAGCUUAUCCACUCACUGACUGAAGGCCAUGCUGAUUGCUUCCAAGUUUUGGCAAUUAUGAAUUAAGGUGCAAUAAACAUCCACAUGCAGGUUUGUGUGUGGACAUAAGUUUUUGCCUCCUUUGGGUAAAUACCAAGGAGCUCAAUUAUUGAGUGCGUUUAGUUUUUUGAGAAACAACCAAACUGUCUUCCAAAGUGGAAAAUACAAAGUGCCAUUUUGCAUUUCCAUCAGCAAAGAAUGAGAAUUCCUAUUGCCCUACUCCUUGCUGGUACUUGGUGUCUGGGUUCUAGAUUUGGACCAUUCUAGCAAGUGCAGAGUGACAGCUCAUUGUUUUGAUUUACACUGAUGACAUAUGAUAUGGAACAUCUUUUCAGAUGUUUAUUUCCCUGGGUUUUGGCUCCACAGUAUCCCCUCAAUGCCUAGCAUAGUACCUAGACACAAGGAGGUGCUCAACAAACAUUUGGAAAAUAAAUGAACCAAUUAAUCAAUCAAACAUUAAAGCAUUCACCUCUCUAAAACCUAUAUUGAGUAAUUUUACAGUAAUUUUAGGUUCACAGCCAAACUGAGCAGAAGGUACUAAGAUAUCCCAUAUACUCCUGCCCCCAAACAUGUACAGCCUCGCCUGCUAUCAACAGCCCUCUUCCUAUAUUGAGGAAAUUCACUAAGGCUAUUGUCAGUAAUCCAAAUUGCUAUCUCUACAACUUGGUCCUUUAACAAGGCUCAAGCUUCUAAUGUACAGAAACUGAAGAAUUCUGGAUCUGAAAUUUCCCUACCUAUGUCUGGUCAGCCUGAAUCAGUCUAGACUUUGCCCCAACUACUAAUUUUACUACUACUCUACUAGUACUUAUUAUUACUUACCAGAGAUUAAACCCAAGGGUGCUUAACCACUGAGCCACAUCCUGAACCCUUUUUAUGUUUUAGAGACAGAGUCUCACUAAGUUGCUGGGACUGGCUUCAAACUUGGGCUCCUCCUGCCUCAGCCUCCUGAGUUGCUAGGAUUACAGGCAUGUGCCAUCACAUCCAGUGAGCCUAAAUUCUUGUGUAAACUCAAAAGUCAUCCAAAUUCUCUGAGCAUCAGGUUUUUCUUGUAUGAGUCCACAAAGGUAUACAUGUAAUAUCAGGAAUUAGAAAUAUCUAGCUAAACAUAGAAUAUGGUCAUAUUAAGUAAAGCAGUGGAACCAGAUGCUCUCUGAGGUCUUCUUUAAAACUCUGGGACUUGGUCUUACAUCAUAGGGUGGAAAAAGAGGGACCAGUUAUGAAGCACCACUCUGGACCUUCUGCAGUGUCUAUAUUUAGUGGCAUUUUAGCUCCUGGAUUGAGUAAGACUAAAGGGGUUGCAGGAUGUCUAUUUGAAAUGACCUCUAGACAGGCCAUUGCCUCUCUUUUCCUCUUGGAGUCUACUUUGUCAUUUCCACCAUGAGAUGCCAAUAAAACCAACCAAUCCUGCCAACGGUAAAGGAUCGCUGUUGAGUCAAGACAGUGAAUGUGGGAGAUGCCUCAAGCAGGAGAAGUUUUGAAAGAGCAAACAGAAGGCUACAAAUCUCAAACAGAGUAAAUAUACAAAGUCACUGGGUGGAUACAUCUCAAACAGACCAUCAAUCACCAGGGUCAGAUGCAAAUAUUAGGUGUAGAGGGAGCCAUCCUCCUGGCACUGCUGUGGAAAUAUCAGGGCUUGGAAAAUGCAAGUGGUUCCUGUUUAAUUACUUAUGUUUUUGUACAAAGGAAAAAAGAUCAGUACAAAACACCAAUAGAUAGGUGGUAGGAUUCAGAGCAAGGGGUUCUUCCUAGGGUACUGAGGCUCUUGAAAGAGUGACUCUCUUUUGUGAGCACCUCUAUAAAAUAAGGGGGUUGGGUACUCUAUAACCCAGGGAUCUCAAUCUUGGUUGCAUAUUAGAAUCACCUGGGGGAUAUUUUAAGACUCUAGAUGCUCACCCCACAUCCAAAACCUAUUAGACUCAGUCAUCCCAAGUGAUUUCUUACAGUAGCCAAAUUUAGGAGCAUCACUGUUCAGAGGCUUUCAUGGUUCCAAAACCGGGCUAAGGUUUCUAAGUCGUAGAUCAUAUGAUGCUCCACUAGGUGGCACCUUCCAGCAGUUUCAAGAAUGAACUCAUAAAGCAGGGCUUGGUGGUCUUUGCUAGGAUCCGUAAUCCUGAUGAGAAGACUGAACUUGUUGUUUAAAAAUUCCUAGUAAGUGGUGGAGUUACAGAAUAUUAAGAUUUGUCCUGUUGGGGAACAGGCCAGGAAAGGGGGCAGCUCCAUUCCUUACUACUGGGCUCACCCAUCCAUGCAUGCACUCUGGGCUUUCCUCCCCCAUCCAUCCAGCAGGAACAGCAAGCUCCCCUCAGAAGCCCUCCAGGAGCCCCAUUAUUGGAGUGGUGACAUCUGCUCUUUAUAUCUGGCUAGUGCAAAACACCCUGCUUUACCUUAAGGAUCUAUACUCCAUGCCCUGGGAGGUUGACUCCACCCUAAACUGCUGGCUUGGCCAAUCAGAGCACUCUAUCCCCUUCCACUUCUGUGAUUAGUCUAGGGGUGAGCACCUGAUUUCCAGAAGACAAACCUGAACCAAUGGGGUUCGUCCUGAGGAUUUUAUGAAGGAAAUAGUGGCCUCUUCUAGGUCAGCUUUCUAACAGGAUGUGAAGAGUCGGCUGAAUGUCUUGCCUUUGCUCUCCUGAAGCUUUUGUUCCUUGCUGCUGCUGCUUCUAUAUUUUUAUUAGUUGUUCACGGAUCCUUCCUUCCUUCCUUCCUUCCUUCCUUCCUUCCUUCCUCUUUUCUUCCUUCCUUCCUUCCUUUCUUUCUUUCUUUCUUUCUUUCUUUCUUUCUUUCUUUCUUUCUUUCUUUCUCUUUCCUUUCUUGUGCUGAGACUUGAACCCAGAGCCUCACACAUGCUAGGCAAAGUGCUUUACCUGGGAGCCGCAACCCCAGCCCAUCCACCAGCUUCUUGAUGCUCCUUUUUCUUGAUGAGCUUAGCCCUUGACAGGACCUAGGAACAGGGAGAAGACCCAGGUCAGGGUUUCUCCCCAGCUCCCUCACUGGGACUAUGCCACCGGCUGACUGUGUCUGCCACUAAGGGCCACAGUGCCUGUCACAGUCUCCCUGGGUUCUGAUAACUGCCCCUCCCCUUAACCUGCAGUCCUAGGGCAUUUCACUGUCCUUGGUGGUCGCCCCUCCCCUCCCAAAGUGUUCUAAUAAAUUCUUCUCAAAUUUUCCAGCAUGAGAGUGCCAUUCAUUUCCUGCCUGAGACCCUAACUCAACAAGGAUGAAGCCCCCAGAGAACAGCCUAACACAGAGGAAAGGGGAGCUGACAGAUCACUGGGUCACUAGAGCUAACCCCUGAUGUCAUCCGGGCUUCUAGUCCAACUCACCUCCCACAUUCAAACAAUUACCUAAUAAUGCUGAUUUUAUUGCCUAAUAAAUUUUAAAUGUAUCCCUUCACCUCUAGGCCUGCUCUGUAGCACAUAUUUCAGAUGCCUGUAAGAAUCCCUGAUCAGAACACUACAUCAAAUGACUAAAUUCCGUACCUUGCCGAGUACCUCAUCCUCAUCUAUGGGCUGGUCCUUGACCAUGACUUGUCUGACUUGGAUCAAAAGGAUGAAUUGGACUACUCAGACUCUCUCAGAAAUUGGAAACAAAUGACAGAGGAAAGAAGAUAGCACUUUAAUCUUCCCCCAAACCCUAUGAGGCAGGUUCUAUUAUUAUUUCCAUUUUCCAAAAGAGGAAACUGAACCAUGCCUAGACACUGUGUGCUAAGUUCUUUAUGUACAUCACCUCACUGACUCUUUUAGUUAUUCAUUCAACCGAUAUUUAUUAAUGCACCUAUCAUGUGCCAGAAACUAUGGGAGAUGCUAGGCAUUCAGUAGUGGGAAAAUGAUAAAUAACAGUCACAGGGCUUACCAUGUGGUAGUGGAAAAGACAUUGUAAAAAUGAAUACAGGAAGGGGCUGGGGAUGUGGCUCAAGCGGUAACAUGUUCGCCUGGCAUGCAUGGGGUGCUGGGUUCGAUCCUCAGCACCACAUUAAAAAAAAAAAAAGAUGUUGUGUCCACCGAAAACUAAAAAAUAAAUAUUAAAAAAUUCUCUCUCUCUGUCUCUCUCUCUUUUAAAAAAAAAUGAAUACAGGAAAAACAGUUGUCUUAGGUAGGAGGAAGGAGAAAGAGCCUCUUGGCUGUUAGACAAAACACUGGGUUAGAACCCAAUGCUGUUGGAAUCCUAGUCCAACAUUCAGCCAAGUUCCACUAUUG